CAGCUUGCCUUCCAGUCCAUUGCUCCAUACGGAUUUGUGUCACAUUCAAGAUCAAAGUUAUUUCGAUCUUGAAAGUCGCUACAAGGAGCCUCCAGUCCCUGGCGCCCCAGUCUCUCACAUGUAUGAAGCACCUUUUUACCAGAUCCCCAGGACACAUCAGGCAAAUUUCCAUCAGCAACAUGUUUUCACCCCCUCAUUUAGACUGGGGAGGACAGGCAGUGGAUCUAUACCUUGCUCUGCUGCUGAGCUGCACAGCCUGACCCUGUUGGAAAAUAUAAAGCAACAGCAAAUGCAGCUUGCUGUUGCUGUAAACAGCCUUGUUGCUCGAAAGGGUACGGAAACGCCAGUGAUUUAAAUGCCCAACAUUAACCUUCCACUGGACACAAUUGCUGAGGUGGAGGAGUUUGAGGAAUGGCUAAAAGACCAGGCGAACUCCCGUGCAAAGCAAGACAUGGUUUCUGUUCUGGGUGCUGUGGGAGGACAGAAUUCCAAAAAAAACACAUGGAAUAUCCUUUCCAGGCUUUUCUCUGAUGGAGUCGCGAAACAAAUAAACUGGAAAGGGGUGAAUGGAAAGAAAUGCUUCAAAGAGAUACUCACAAGAAGCUGAGUAUUAAAUCUCUUGUAGAACUUUUAGAGAACAUUUGCUUUUUUCUCCUUACAAACUUUGUGAUAUAUUUUUGUUUUAUUUUCAGUUGAUCUUCAUGAGUUUUUAAUAUGUAGACAUGUUUAAAAAAAAUCCAGAAUCAAUAACGUCCCUGUUUGAUCACAAGUCACCUUAAUGUUUUCUAAGACACAGUAUCCCACCCUCUCCUUGAGGUCAUUUACGAGCUAUGAGCCUCUUCCCAGUUAGUCAGCUUAUCGGAGAGGUUCAGAAAGUUCAGCUGACUUCAUCCAAGGUACCCGAGAUUCCAGCGAGCAUCCCUAGUGAUGUUACCUCGAUGAGCAUUAUAAUCCAUGAAGAUAAAAUUAAGCCCUUGUUCUUCAUACAGGGGAAAUACAUUAUUCUGCUAGUGUGUGCUUUUUACAGCAUCAUUCACAAAGUGUAGGGCAGUUCUGUUUUGACAUACCUUUCCACACUGCAAUUCCACCACCACCAUGUAAGACUCAUCUAGUGACAACAGUGACUGAUGCAUAGGGCUCUCCUCCCUCUCCAACCAUCCUUUCUCCCCAUUGGUGAUCAACUGUUAUCAGAGAACACCACUGGGGCCCACUGGCCUCUUGUCCAUCAUUAAUUCCCUCUGCCCCAUGCAAGAUGAUGAUGCCUGUACCUGAUUGUGUGGUCAGGUACCCUUGCAGGUCAUCUAGU